rnacentral:rRNA from 1 species
AUUGAACGCUGGCGGCAGGCCUAACACAUGCAAGUCGAACGAGUGGCGGACGGGUGAGUAAUGUCUGGGACACUGCCUGAUGGAGGGGGAUAACUACUGGAAACGGUAGCUAAUACCGCAUACCAUCGGAUGUUCCCAGUUGGGAUUAGCUUGUUGGUGGGGUAACGGCUCACCAAGGCGACGAUCCCUAGCUGGUCUGAGAGGAUGACCAGCCACACUGGAACUGAGACACGGUCCAGACGCCUACGGGAGGCAGCAGUGGGGAAUAUUGCACAAUGGGCGCAAGCCUGAUGCAGCCAUGCCGCGUGUAUGAAGAAGGCCUUCGGGGUGUAAAGUACUUUCAGCGGGGAGGCGUUACCCGCAGAAGAAGCAACGGCUAACUCCGUGCCAGCAGCCGCGGUAAUAC